ACGACCGUUUCGACCCCGUUGCGAAUCGAACUUGGUUCGAGUUCGAGCAGCGGGUCGAUCCGAGCCA
rnacentral:pre_miRNA from 1 species